GAGCCCCAUUUGGCGCUUGAUGGCUUAGGAGGAGUUGGUCAAUGUAGAUUUACCUUGUGUUAUAUAAGUUAAAAAACAAGAGGCGCAGCACGAAAAGAAUCAAUUUGAUAAAUAGCGAUCACCAAAAAUUUAAAACAUAUUGAAAAUAUCAGUGAAAAAAAUGAUGAAAGCCAUAACUUGUCUGUCGACUGUAUCGCAGAAACAGCAAUUUUUACCCAAGCGAUAUACUGCAGAAAGUAGUUUUCUACUCACGAAGUGGCAAUAAAUUUACAAACAAAGCCACUAAAAACAGUUUGAGAAUUAAAGCAGUUUGUUGGAAAUAUGAGAGGGAAUGAUGAAAUUGCAGCUCAAUUGGUAAAUUUCGCAAGUUUUGCCUUGAUUGUUUACUUACUAAAUACAAGGGGAUUAAAAAAAGUUCGAUCAGUUGAAUGAUCGACUAAAGUGGAGAUGAGAGAAUGCAAAAUAGCUAAGGACAGGUAGGACGAAAUCUCACCAGCAACGCAAACAGAAAUUCGCCAUUUGAUUCUCUUCGGGUUUCAGCGUAAUUUACAGCUGAAACUAAUGUUCGGUGGAUCCCGAAUUGCAUAUGGAACGAUUACACCGUCUUUAAGGACUAUUUCUAAGUAAUUACGAAGAUUCCAGACCGGACACUUCUACAUAGAGGACGAGGCCCAAGAAGGUCAACCAAAAUCUUGCACUGAUGACGACAUUGUAGCCCUGGUGAAUAGCGAAUAUUAAGUAAUGGGAUACACGAAGAAAUCUAACACGAAUUUUAUAUCAGGCCCAAAAAGAGGCUCGAGUACGUUUUGGACAGUUUUUCGUCAACCAACUUGAAAAUGAAACCAAACAACAAUCCAUGGUAUGGAGCCCAACAGGAG